AGAUAUGAGGUAGAUAUGCCACAGUAAGUUGCAGUAUUACUCAUUAGAAAAUUUAGUAUUAUAACUGUUUGAAACUACUUCACAAGCAAAUGCUGCAGAUGAUAAAAGCUCUACUUGUUUUGAUCUAAUUUUCUAUCCUGCACAAAAUAAAAGUAAUGAUGUGACUCCAGGAAAUGAAAGCUCAGGGUAUUACUAAGGUUCAGCUUGAACUCUUGUAAGGCGUAAGUGGUACUUUUUGACUUGGAGUUUUGACAGCUUUAUGGGUGUUACUGGAGGUGGUAAGACCACCCUGAUGGAUGUCUUAGCCGGAAGUAAAACUGGUGGACACAUAGAAGGAAGCAUCACUAUAUCAGGGUACCCCAAGAAGCAAAAACAUUUGCUCGAAUAGCAGGAUACUGUGAGCAAACUGUCAUUCAUUCACCACAUGUGACAGUAUAUGAAUCCCUGCAAUAUUCUGCUUGGCUUCAGUUGCCUCAGGAAGUUGACACUGCAACUAGAAGGGUAAAUUUAAGAAAUAAGAAAAAUCACUCAGGUAAUGCUUAUAGAAACUAGCUCCUAAACUAGAUAUUGAUGCUGCAGAUGUAUAUUGAAGAGGUCAUGGAGCUUGUAGAGUUAACCCCAUAAAGAGAAUUAGUCGUUGGAGUGAAUGGUCUAUCAACUGAAUAGCAAAAGAGACUUACAAUUGCAGUUGAGCUUGUUUCCAAUCCUUCCAUUAUAUUCAUGGAUGAACCAACCGCAGGACUAGAUGCUAGGGCAGCUGCAAUAGUGAUGAGGACGGUGAGAAAUACAGUAGAUACUGGUCGAACAGUGGUAUGCAACCAUUCAUCAGCCAAGCAUCGACAUAUUUGAUGCUUUUGAUGAGGUGAAUACAUUUUCUUUGUUUAAUUUAAAUAAUUUUAUUUAGAGACAAACAACUUAAUUCUUCUACAACAAACUCUGCAGCUGCUACUUCUAAAAUGGGGAGGUGAAGAAAUAUAUGUCAGUCCCCAUUAGCACGCCAUUCUACUCAGCUUAUUAAGUAUUUCGAGGUGAGAAAAAUAUAGAUAAGAUAAUUGGCAUCAUAAUGCUGGCUAGGUACUAAAACAAAUAGCUCUUUUCUCUUUUGCCUCAGGGAAUUGAUGGAGUACCUUAGAUAAAAGAAGGUUAUAAUCCUGCAACAUGGAUGUUGGAGAUCACUACUGCAGCACAAGAAGGGCACUUCUUGGAAUUGACU
rnacentral:lncRNA from 1 species